ACUUGCAGCCUGCACUGCUGGGAGCCUCUGUGCUCCAAGGUGAUUUGAAGAAGGGCUCUUAUUUUUUAUAGUGCUCCUGUAUUACAUUUGAUUUCUUUCCCCUCACCCUGCACAAGAGCUGGGGCGGGGGGAAUAACAACUGACACCUUAAUGUACUUGAUGAUCAAUGCCAGUGUAAGACCAGUGCUAAGGCUAUCCUGUUUUGGAACAAAGUCAGGAAGCUGGAAGCUAAGAAUGAUGCCUUGCAAUUUUGUGCAAAUUGUGCUUGCUUAUGACCAGCCCUCCAUUCCCCACCCCACACUUUUUCUUGCUCUUACAGGGCCAAAUCCAGAUGAUGAGGAUGGAGUGCUUGGAACCAGAAAAAGUCUACAUUGACCUGGUCCUGUAGUACUUUAUAGAGCACAAUAACUGUAAUGUAUUGCAUGGGGAAUCUUCCUGGAAGUUGACCUGUUUGUUGAUUACAUCCAUUGCUGGCAGGAUGUUAAAGAGUGGGAAGGGACCCUCUUCUAGCAUCCUUCGCCAUCUUUAUCUGGCUCACCACAGAGGAAGGGUUAUUGUUUUUUGCAGCACUACAGUAGGACUAAAGGACAUGAUACUUUAUUAUUCUGUAUUUGGACCCAAAAGAUAAAUAGCAAGAAACUGACACCACAGCAAAUUAGGAGACUACAAAGAAGAAAGGAGAUGAAGUGCAUUAUCAGACCAGUCUCAAAGUUUGAUAAGGUGGCAUGCUUGCAGCGAGAAGUCAAACACAGCUUCCCUCCUGAGAAUGAUCAGAAAUCUGGAAAGUGGAAAUUUGCUUGCUGGGAACCAUCAUUUCUGAUCUAAUGGAGGUUGGCUAUGAUAUAAUUCCUGUUACAGAGCAAUUGAUCAAACUAUGUAUUGGUAGUCACCUCAGCUGUACUUCCUGUGAGCAGAAAUUACUUGCAAAGUUUUGUAUAAAGGAGAACAAAGCUCAGCAGGUUAGUUCAAAUGAAAUGUUGUCAGAGGUCAGCACUUUCUCCAGCAGGAGCUAUCCAAACAUUCACAUUGUAAUUUCCAUUCUCCAUUCUGUUUCUCAAAUGUCGCAACAGAGAAUUGCUUCUGUGAGGUGAAUGAAGAAGAGCCAGAAUGGAGCAAAAGAUCAUCAGUGCAUUUGUACAUGUACACCUUCUCUUCCCAAGCAAUGAAUACUAUAUAGAUAGUUUUUACUGGCAUCCUGAAAGCAUUUAUUUUGAUUAUUCCUGGUGCCACAAUGCAUUUGGAAUGUGAAAAUACUGCUGUGUCUUUAAGUAAGGCUGUUUGAGCAGAUAGGCAUGAAGACAAUCUAGUGUAGAAUGUUUGCUAAUAUCCAACCAUUACUAUAAAUUAUUGUCAUGUAAAAUGUCUUAGGAAAGAGGAUCUUUAGCAGGGAUGGACACAUCUGUCAAUGUUGGUUUCUCUUAUUUUCUCAUUUUUCAAAUCUUAAGUCUGUCUCAUUUCUGCAUCAGUUUGUGAACACUUUUAAAAUGUCAGCCCCAAAAUUAAUAUACAUUGUGCAUGUUUGCGCUCAUUUUCCACUAAUAUGUGUUUUGUUUUGGGUAUUUUUGUGUACAUCUGGGUGGACAGCUAUAUCACAAAAUUCAGAGAAAUGUGGAUUUUGAAGGAGAACUGAAUUUUGGUUCACAUAUUGAUUUGGUAAGUACAAAGCAGGUGAGUUUUCAUUAAAAUGUGAACUCAAAAAAAUUGUUCCCUCAUUGCUAGUUUUAGUAAAAUUGAGCCAAAUAUGCACCCCUUUCAGAGAGAUGAUUCAUCUCCUGCAAAUAUUGGAUCUUUUUUGCACAGUUACAAAAGUGGUAAAAUGUUGCUGUUAUCCUUUCUACCCAUCAACACUCAGCACCUGGGCAGAUGGUCACUCAAGUCACCAGGUUACACUUCCACACAACUCUGGGAUGUAUUUAUAUGUAAAUUAUAGUAAUUAUUUUAGCAUUUGCUUUCCCACAAAUAAAUUAGCAUAUGCAUAUUUUAUGUAAAUCUGUGUCCACUUUCGUCUUCUAUUUUGGUGGCCCCCCUUCUAACUAUGACUUUCCUGCUGAAUCAGA